rnacentral:rRNA from 1 species
GAGAGUUUGAUUCUGGCUCAGGAUGAACGCUGGCGGCGUGCCUAACACAUGCAAGUCGAGCGAUCUUCUUCGGAAGAGAGCGGCGGACGGGUGAGUAACGCGUGGGUAACCUGCCUCAUACACAUGGAUAACAUACCGAAAGGUAUGCUAAUACAAGAUGAUAUAAGAGAUUCGCAUGGAUUUCUUAUCAAAGCUCCGGCGGUAUGAGAUGGACCCGCGUCUGAUUAGCUAGUUGGUAAGGUAACGGCUUACCAAGGCGACGAUCAGUAGCCGACCUGAGAGGGUGAUCGGCCACAUUGGAACUGAGACACGGUCCAAACUCCUACGGGAGGCAGCAGUGGGGAAUAUUGCACAAUGGGCGAAAGCCUGAUGCAGCAACGCCGCGUGAGCGAUGAAGGCCUUCGGGUCGUAAAGCUCUGUCCUCAAGGAAGAUAAUGACGGUACUUGAGGAGAAGUCCGGCUAACUA